UACGUAGGGGGCUAGCGUUGUCCGGAUUUAUUGGGCGUAAAGAGCGUGUAGGCGGCCAGGUAGGUCUGCUGUGAAAACUCGAGGCUCAACCUCGAGACGUCGGCGGAAACCAUCUGGUUAGAGUCCGGAAGAGGAGAGUGGAAUUCCUGGUGUAGCGGUGAAAUGCGCAGAUAUCAGGAAGAACACCCGUGGCGAAGGCGGCUCUCUGGGACGGUACUGACGCUGAGACGCGAAAGCGUGGGGAGCGAACAGG
rnacentral:rRNA from 1 species